rnacentral:rRNA from 1 species
GAUGAACGCUGGCGGCGUGCCUAAUACAUGCAAGUCGAGCGAACAGACGAGGAGCUUGCUCCUCUGACGUUAGCGGCGGACGGGUGAGUAACACGUGGAUAACCUACCUAUAAGACUGGGAUAACUUCGGGAAACCGGAGCUAAUACCGGAUAAUAUAUUGAACCGCAUGGUUCAAUAGUGAAAGACGGUUUUGCUGUCACUUAUAGAUGGAUCCGCGCCGCAUUAGCUAGCUGGUAAGGUAACGGCUUACCAAGGCAACGAUGCGUAGCCGACCUGAGAGGGUGAUCGGCCACACUGGAACUGAGACACGGUCCAGACUCCUACGGGAGGCAGCAGUAGGGAACCUUCCGCAAUGGGCGAAAGCCUGACGGAGCAACGCCGCGUGAGUGAUGAAGGUCUUCGGAUCGUAAAACUCUGUUAUUAGGGAAGAACAAAUGUGUAAGUAACUAUGCACGUCUUGACGGUACCUAAUCAGAAAGCCACGGCUAACUACGUG